UGCUUCUUAUUAUAAUAAAAAGAUAAGUUAAGAAUUCAUUAAACUUGAAUAUAAUUCUAGAUAAGCUUUUGAUAAUGACAAAUUUUUAUCUAUUUGUCUUGACCAAAUCUUGUGCCAGCAGUCGCGGCAAUACAAGGAAGACUAGUGUUAUUCAUCUUUUAUAGGUUUAAAGGGUACCUAGACGGUAAAUUAGGCCAUAGUUGGAACCUUUUUACUAGAGUUAUAUAUGCAGGGGGAUUGUGUCCGUAUUAGCAGAGUAGAGAUGCAAUUUUAUGAUACUGUUAAGACUGGUAAAGGCGAAAGCAAACCUUUAUAUAUUAACUGACGUUGAGGGACGAAGGCUUGGGGCGCGAACAGGAUUAGAUACCCUAAUAGUCCAGGCAGAGAAUUAUGAAUGUCAUAGAUUAUAAAAUAGUUUAUAAAUGAAAGUGUAAGCAUUCCACCUCAAGAGUAAUGUGGCAACGCAGGAACUGAAAUCAUUAGACCGUUUCUGAUACCAGUAGUGAAGUAUGUUGUUUAAUUUGAUGGUCCACAAAGAACCUUACCACAAUUUGAAUAUAUUUAAUAUAUAUACCUUUAUAUAUUUAUAUGUAUUAUUUAUACAAGCGUUGCAUUGUUGUCUUCAGUUAAUGUUGUGAAACUCUGGUUAGAUUCAUAUAAUUAACGUAAUCCUAUGUUCUAUUUAAAUAUUAAUAGAUUAGUUCACUGCAAUAUUGGAUAUUGAUAACUGGGAAUAAGACA
rnacentral:rRNA from 1 species